UACAGAGGGGGCGAGCGUUGUUCGGAAUUACUGGGCGUAAAGGGCGCGUAGGCGGCCAACUAAGUCGGACGUGAAAUCCCCUGGCUCAACCCCGGAACUGCCUUUGAUACUGGUAGUCUCGAGUCCGGAAGAGGUGAGUGGAAUUCCGAGUGUAGAGGUGAAAUUCGUAGAUAUUCGGAGGAACACCAGUGGCGAAGGCGGCUCACUGGUCCGGUACUGACGCUGAGGUGCGAAAGCGUGGGGAGCAAACAGG
rnacentral:rRNA from 1 species